GACGAAGGGGGCUAGCGUUGUUCGGAAUUACUGGGCGUAAAGCGCACGUAGGCGGCUUUCUAAGUCGGGGGUGAAAUCCUGGAGCUCAACUCCAGAACUGCCUUCGAUACUGGAAAGCUCGAGUCCGGGAGAGGUGAGUGGAACUGCGAGUGUAGAGGUGAAAUUCGUAGAUAUUCGCAAGAACACCAGUGGCGAAGGCGGCUCACUGGCCCGGUACUGACGCUGAGGUGCGAAAGCGUGGGGAGCAAACAGG
rnacentral:rRNA from 1 species